UUGUUGCAGUUAAAAGCUCGUAGUUGAAUUUCUGGUCUCGGACAUCGGUCUGCCUCGAACGAGGUACGUACCAGUUGUCUGAAUCCAUCCUCGGGGAAAACAUGUCUGGCAUUCAGUUGUUGGGCAUGGGAUCCUCGUCAUUUACUGUGAGCAAAAUAGAGUGUUCAAAGCAGGCUUAUGCCGUUGAAUACAUUAGCAUGGAAUAAUAAGAUAGGACCUUGGUCUAUUUUGUUGGUUUGUACUCCAAGGUAAUGAUUAAUAGGGAUAGUUGGGGGUAUUCGUAUUCAAUUGUCAGAGGUGAAAUUCUUGGAUUUAUGGAAGACGAACUACUGCGAAAGCAUUUACCAAGGAUGUUUUCAUUAAUCAAGAACGAAAGUUAGGGGAUCGAAGAUGAUUAGAUACCAUCGUAGUCUUAACCAUAAACUAUGCCGACUAGGGAUUGGUGGACGUUUGUAACGACUCCAUCAGCACCUUAUGAGAAAUCAAAGUCUUUGGGUUCCGGGGGGAGUAUGGUCGCAAGGCU
rnacentral:rRNA from 1 species